rnacentral:lncRNA from 1 species
ACAAAAGGACUAGGUUUGGGAAUGUUACAGAUCGCAACUUUCUGUUCGUAUUCAUUAACAGUGUGGGUUGGAGCAGCUGCUGUAGUUGAUAGAUCUGCAAAAGGAGGUGAAACAAUUGCAGCUGUCAUUAACAUCCUCUCUGCCGCAAUGUAAUAAAGAACUAUCUUUCUAGUUUGUAUUCCAUGGUUAUCAUAAAUUAGACUACUUCCAAACAUUUUACUUCUAUAAAGUUGACAGGGUCAUUAUUUUUAUAUGUGGUUUCAGAUAUAUCUCAAAUGCAGCACCAGAUCUUCAGUCCUUCAGCCAAGCAAAAGCUGCUGGCAAAGAAGUAUUUGAGGUUAUCAAUAGAAAUCCAGCGAUAAGUUAUGAAUCAAAUGGAACAAUCCUAGAAAAGGUCACUGGAAAUAUUGAAAUUCGAGAGGUGGAUUUCAUGUAUCCAUCCAGAGUCGACAAGCCAAUUCUCAGAAGUUUUUCACUAUCCAUACCGGCAGGCAAAGUUGUGGCUCUUGUGGGGAGCAGUGGAUGUGGGAAGAGCACUGUGAUUUCUCUUGUUCAACGGUUCUAUGAUCCUAUAUCAGGUAUGCUUCUAUGAUAUAUCUCUAUCACCGAGCAAAAAAUGGGUUGAAGUGUAUAUUCUACAGUCUGUGUGCUUUUUAGAGUACAGAAGAGCUAGAGUUUACUACUUUACAUGACAUGCUUUGCGUAUUAAAUUAUAAUUUCUAGAGAAAAAUAAAAAUGGCAUGUUGUCACUGCCUACAGGAUCCAUUUUUUUCUAAAAAUAUGUGCUGCAUAGAGAUAAACUUUUAGAUCUUGCUUUUGUUAAUUAGAUGAUGUUAUAAUGCAGGUAAUAUUCUUAUCGAUGGUCAAAAUAUUAAGGAACUUGAUCUGAAGUCCCUCAGGAGAAGUAUAGGUUCUGUCUCUCAAGAACCAUCACUAUUUUCCGGUACGAUCAUGGAUAACUUGAGAAUUGGCAAAAUGGAUGGAACUGAUGAAGAGAUAAUUGAAAUAGCAAAAUCAGCUAAUGUGCACUCCUUUGUAUCCAAACUCCCAAACCAAUACUCAACGGAGGUAAAGACUCCAUGCUCGUGAAAAAUGAGAGUUGUAAAAACCUUACAAAUUGAAUCAAACUAUGUCAAACGAUGCAUACAUAUUCAAAUAGAAGGACAAAAUUCAGGCUAUGUUUCAAGUUUUGGACCAAUAUACUGCUUUUAGUUGUUCCCUUGGAAAUUCAUCUCGAUGGCAGUAAUGUGUUAUGUUCUUUUUAGAGGAAUAUGCUGAAUAUGCCCAAAUUAAAUAGACAAGUUUUUUGAGUAGUUAUAUACUGAACCUACAAAUAGUAAGCAACUAAGCAUCAGUACAAAUCCAAGCAUCCCCGCUUAUCUUCAAUAAAUGAAAAACUUAGUAUUACCAAUGUAUUAAACUAUGGCAAUCACUUCAGGUAGGAGAAAGAGGUGUGCAGUUAUCAGGAGGUCAGAAACAAAGAAUAGCAAUUGCAAGGGCUAUGCUAAAAGAUCCGCCAAUUCUUCUUCUUGAUGAAGCCACAAGUGCACUUGAUUCAGAAUCAGAGAAGUUGGUUCAGGAAGCUCUUGAUGGAGCUAUGAAAGGAAGGACAGUUAUUUUGAUUGCCCACAGAAUGUCAACAAUCAUAAAUUCAGACAAGAUUGUUGUUGUGGAGAAUGGAAAAGUAGCUCAAUCUGGAACUCAUGAAGAAUUGCUGGAGAAAAGUCCAUUCUACUCGAGUGUAUGCAGUAUGCAAAAUCUAGAGAAGGAAUCUGGCAAGAGUGAAGAAAGGUAAGCAUAAUUGAUUGCAGUCUUUUCACAAUGUAGAAUGUUCAUUUAUGGAAUCCAUCAUGGCAUUGUACAUAUGCAAUUACGAAUGAAAAGUAUUAGAACCAAUACAUUCUAGAAGAUGCAUAAAUAUAAAGCUUAAGAUGUGUUCUGCUCUUUGACUAGAGAAACAAUACCUAAAUCGGUUGCUAGAAUUAACUGAAUAGACCAGAGUAUAUUUUACUCGUUAUUAUGAUUUGUGUGGCAUCCUAAUUAAUUUUGGGGAAUAAAUUUUCAGAUUUACUGAUCAGGUCAGAGAAGAACAAGACAAUGGAAGUGGAACAAGCAAUGAGCCGUCUUCUACUGCACAUGAACAAGAGAAGAGUCUAGAACUGAACCCAAACCAACCGAAGCAGGAUAUCAGAAACAGAGCAUCUGCUUUCUACAGAAUGUUCCUUGGAACAUUUAUGCUGGAGCCAGGAAAGAUUCUUCUGGGCUCAACAGCAGCAGCAAUCUCUGGGGUCUCAAAGCCAAUAUUUGCUUUCUAUAUCAUGACCGUUGCCAUAGCAUACUUUGACCCGGAUGCAAAGAGAAUAGUUGCCAAGUACUCGAUAAUUUUGUUCCUUAUUGGAUUGCUCACAUUUUUCAGUAACAUCUUCCAGCACUAUAUAUAUGGCCUUGUCGGUGAAAGGGCAAUGAAUAACCUAAGGGAGGCCCUCUUUUCAGGUCUGAAACUCAAGCAUAGCAUUUUACAUAUCACGCAAGUUUGCAUUUAGUAGAGAAGUAUAUGAUCGGUUGUUCUUUAGAUUGUAACACCAUUUCUCUUUGUGUUAAACACAGUCAUUCUGCAGAACGAAAUCGGUUGGUUUGAACAACCCAAGAACAGUGUCGGUUUCCUGACAUCACGCGUUGUUGGUGACACCUCCAUGAUUAAAACCAUCAUAUCUGAUCGAAUGUCAGUGAUUGUGCAGUGUAUCUCUUCAAUUUUGAUAGCUACAGGAUUAAGCAUAGGAGUGAACUGGAGGAUGGGUCUGGUUGCAUGGGCUCUGAUGCCAUGUCAGUUCAUCGCUGGCCUCGUACAAGUAAGGUCAGCAAAAGGUUUUGCCACUGACACCUCUACAUCUCACCGGAAGCUCAUCUCACUCACUUCAGAGGCUGUUAGCAACAUUCGUACAGUGGCCUCUUUUGGUCAGGAAGAGGAAAUACUAAAGAAAGCAGAUUUGUCGCUGCAAGAACCAAUGCAGACAAGCAGGAUAGAGAGCAUAAAGUAUGGGGUGGUACAAGGGGUUUCCCUCUGCUUGUGGCACAUGACACAUGCCAUCGCAUUGAGUUACACCAUUGUGCUACUUGACAAGAGCCUAGCAACAUUUGAAAACUGUGUACGGGCCUAUCAAGCAAUUGCACUGACAAUAACUUCCAUCACAGAGUUAUGGUCUUUGAUCCCUAUGGUUAUAUCGGCCAUCGCAAUAUUGGAUCCUGCACUCGACAUUCUCGACAGAGAAACGCAGAUCGUGCCAGAUGAACCAAAAGUGCAUUGUGAAGACAGAAUUACUGGCAACAUUGAGUUUCAAGAUGUCAGUUUCAGCUACCCAUCAAGACAAGAUGUGAUCAUAUUGGAUGGAUUCAGUCUAGCUAUUGAACCAGGCCAAAGGGUAGCAUUAGUUGGGCCCAGUGGUGCAGGAAAAUCCACAAUCGUAUCUCUUCUGCUAAGAUUCUAUGAUCCUUGCAGAGGGCAGGUACUUGUUGACGGUAAGGACGUCAGAGAAUACAAUCUGAGGUUCCUAAGAAAACAGAUAGGACUAGUUCAGCAAGAGCCAAUCUUGUUUAAUUUGUCCAUAAGAGAGAACAUCAGCUAUGGAAAUGAAGGUGCAUCGGAAACAGAAAUAGUUGAGGCUGCAAUGGAGGCAAACAUCCAUGAGUUCAUCAGUGGCCUGUCAAAUGGGUACGACACGGUGGUCGGGGACAAAGGAAGCCAACUUUCAGGAGGGCAGAAGCAGAGAAUAGCCAUUGCAAGAACUAUACUGAAGAGGCCAGUCAUACUACUCCUAGAUGAGGCGACAAGUGCGCUGGAUGGUGAAACCGAGAAGGUGGUGAUGAGCUCCCUGGCAGCAAAGGAGUGGAAAAGCAAGGAAGGUGAGCUAUCGAACAAGAUCACGAGUAUCACAAUUGCGCACAGACUAUCCACAGUCACAAGUGCAGAUGUGAUCGUCGUGAUGGACAAAGGCGAGGUGGUCGAGAUGGGCAGCCACGAAACAUUGGUCACAACAAGCAAUGGCGUUUACUCAAGAUUGUACUGUAUGCAAAGCAAAGGAAUGAAAGACUGAUCCUCAAGAUCUCCACUUCUUCAGAUAGGACGGCAGCAGAAAAUAAAAGGACUUGGCACCAUUGACGAGCAUUUGAUGCCAAUCUAAAACAUGUAAAAACAAAAUUUACCAGUUUAUAUUGCUAGGAAUAAAAUUGGUUGUUAGAAACAGGAUAGCCCAACAUUUCAUUUCCCCAAACAAAAAUAAAUGAAUGAAUAAAUUCUAACAGAAUAGCCCAACAUUUCUUUCUUAUCUAAUUUUUUUUGGUUUAGCUAGCUCGAAGCCGACCAAGAUUUAUAAAUUUUAUACAGUACCAGAAUUCACAAUAAAAGAAUGGAUCUAUCAGCAUUAGGAGGCAGUGGCAAGGCAUCCAAUCGCACGAUUCAUGAACUGCAACUGCUACUGCACUAAAAUGUGGAGGAAGAAGAUAACAAUCAUGAAGAAACCCCUAUCAAAUCCACGAGAGGGUUUGGCCCUCACGAAACGUACAGCUAAGCUAGAAAUCGCAUCAAAAUCAUACGGCUCGAACAGAAACGACAAGGAUUGGGGAAUCCAUACCCCUCCAUAUAAUUGCCAAAAAAAAAAACUCAGAUUAAUCGACUCACCCGCAUUACCCCCGCUUCGGCCUAGCCUCCAGCCGCUCUCGUCCCCUUCCUCCUCCCCCUCCACUGCGCAGACCGUGGCCGCAGCGAGCUCGGGCAAAGGCGGCGGAGUAAUCGCCGGCGGCCGCCGCGGCGGCGGAGAACCAGACGAGGUCCGCGACCAGAGCUGCGUCUCUCCUCAGCCGUCCGAUCAAAGCCUUCGCUGUAUUUUGCAG